rnacentral:tRNA from 1 species
ACCUUCAUGGUAUAAUGGUAGCACACUCCACGCGUAUUCUAGAGGUCCGGGUUCGAGUCCCGGCGAGGGCA